rnacentral:rRNA from 1 species
CGUGUAGGCGGUCCGCUAAGUCUGAUGUGAAAGCCCGGGGCUCACCCCCGGAAGUGCAUUGGAAACUGGCGGACUCGAGUCCCGGAGAGGAGAGUGGAAUUCCUGGUGUAGCGGUGAAAUGCGUAGAUAUCAGGAGGAACACCGGUGGCGAAGGCGGCUCUCUGGACGGUGACUGACGCUGAGACGCAAAAGCGUGGGGAGCAAACA